CCAGCUCUCCAAUGCAGGAUGUCUGAAAAUCAAGGGAUUUGGUACCUUGUCAUUUGAAGACACUUCUGUCAUCAGAGGCUCCUCAUCCAUGAAGAGAUCCCAUCAGCCUGAUGCUCCUCCUGCUUCUGCUGCUGCUCCAGCUUUAUUUCAUUGUCCCGGCACAACAAGAUGCUCAGCAGGUCCACACAGAGAUCAACAAGCUGAGGACCCAAAGUUUUACCAAGCUAUGAAAACAAAGACAUGUUGGAAGUGAAGAGAAGAGGAGGAUGGGAGCAGACGGGUAAUUAUACAACAGGAAUAGGAGUUAACUAAGAACUACUUAGAUUACAACCUCUUCUGGGGGAAGGAACCAUUUCCCUAUGUAGAAACCUGAUUCUAAGAGAAGUCUCAGGUUGCCAAAUAAAUAGUGAUAGAAUUUCAUUUAUGCUGUGACAUUUGGAGGUACACAGGCCAGUGAAUUUUACUCUCUGCAAAGGCUUCCUGGGGAGACCCAGGAGCUGGAUUAAAAUCUCGAGGUUAUUUGCACUCACACUGAUCAGCAAGGUAACCCAUGCAAAGUAAAUCCAAAGCAAAUUCUCAAUAAUAAGAACUGGCAUUUGUUUACAAAUUACAUGCAGUUUUGUAUGGUGCUGUGUAGGCUCAGAGACAAGUACAGGAAAAAAGAGCUACAGAACUGGAACCUAAGUUUGAACAGCUAAGUCAUUUGUACCUUCUACAUGAAAAUAAAUCAAACAUAACCACAAUAUUAUUACAAUAUUGCUCUUAUACUGCUGAAGUUCUCCACUGUGGAUUUCAGGUAUAACAGCACAUGCUUUACUCACAACAAAAGCUGGUCAGGUGGGAGCCAGAAAGCCAAUUUUGUCUGAACACCACCUUCCAGUAGGGAAUUGCUUCCUCUCUCAUAGGCUCCCUUUAGCAAAGUGGUAAAUACAGAAUCCAGUGGCACAGCAGGUUCUUUGCUCACCUCCUCGUGAUUUUUAAACUGUUUAAAGUGAAAAAAAAAGCAUAAGAGAAAAACAAUGAUGAAUAUGAAACAAAAAUCUCCUCAGCUCCCCAUGUUUUGAGAUGAGCUCUGAGCUGAACCCAGGUGAAGCUCCAGGAGCACAAGUGUGCAGUCCUGCUGGAACAGAGCUGUCCAGCAGUGCCCCCAGGGAAUCUGUAGUGUUCCCUGCUGGCCUUGAGAAAAACUCACCAAACCCAGCCCAGGGGGCCUGUGAUCCCCAACCCAGCCAGGGGCAACUCCAGGCACUCUGAACUGACACAUAUAAUCUACAAAAGGAAAAAAAAGGAUACAAAGUAGCCACCUACUCAUUAGAACUGAUUAUCUCUUCUAGAUAUAGAAAGCCAUCCACCCAAGUUUUCUUCUUUUGGCACACUCUGUCACAAAUUAUAACUGUGUUUGACAAUG